GAUGAAGAACGCAGCGAAAUGCGAUAAGUAAUGUGAACUGCAGAAUUCAGUGAAUCAUCGAAUCUUUGAACGCACAUUGCGCCCAUUAGUAUUCUAGUGGGCAUGCCUGUUCGAGCGUCAUUAAGUCCACUUAAGCCCUGCUUAGUGUUGGGAGACUGCUCCAGCGGUGCUACCCUGUAGCUACCCUGCAGCUCCUCAAAGACAGCGGCGGAGUUGUGGUAUCCUCUGAGCUUAGUAACUUGUUCUAGCUUUCGAGUACACCACUUCCCCUGCCGUAAAACCCUUAAUUUUUAAUGGUUGACCUCGGAUCAGGUAGGAAUACCCGCUGAACUUAAGCAUAUCAAUAAGCGGAGGA
rnacentral:misc_RNA from 1 species